CACGUAGGUGGCAAGCGUUGUCCGGAUUUACUGGGCGUAAAGGGAGCGUAGGUGGACUUUUCAGUGAGAUGUGAAAUACCCGAGCUCAACUUGGGUGCUGCAUUUCAAACUGGAAGUCUAGAGUGCAGGAGAGGAGAAGGGAAUUCCUAGUGUAGCGGUGAAAUGCGUAGAGAUUAGGAAGAACACCAGUGGCGAAGGCGCUUCCCUGGACUGUAACUGACGCUGAGGCUCGAAAGCGUGGGGAGCAAACAGG
rnacentral:rRNA from 1 species